GCUCUCUCAGGAUCACACCUAGAGAGUUUCCAGUACUCUACCAGUCUCAGCCACAGGAGGGAGAGUCAAGCAGAGGCAUACCCAUUUCAUUCCUAGCUUGGGCUGUGGCUAGUGAAUGGAAGGCAAUCUGCUACAAGU
rnacentral:snoRNA from 1 species